UACGAGGGGGGCAAAUGUUGUUCGGAAUCACUGGGCGUAAAGGGAGCGUAGGCGGGUUUUUAAGUCAGGUGUUUAAUCCCGGGGCCCAACCCCGGACAGGCACUUGAAACUGGGAAAUCGUUGAAUAGUGGAGAGGUCAGUGGAAUUGGGGGUGUAGCGGUGGAAUGCGUAGGAGGAUCGGAAAGAACACCAACGGCGAAAGCACUCUGCUGGGCCGACACUGACACUGAGAGACGAAAGCUAGGGGAGCGAAUGGG
rnacentral:rRNA from 1 species